rnacentral:sRNA from 1 species
UUUUGUUAAAAUACAAAUCUAUAUAUACAUUUUUGCAAGACUUUUUUGAAGAUAAUGUUGAAGAUUUGAGUCAUAAUUCAAGAAUUAUUUCAAAUAGGUGGGUAUAACCCGGUUUAACUCUGUUCGGAUCCUGGAUAACAUGUUUAAUUCUGUUUUGAUCUUGGAUAAAAUUAAUUUU